GUUUAUGGCCAUACCACCCUGAAUGCGCCCGAUCUUGGCUGAUCUCGGAAGCUAAGCAGGGUCUGGGCCUGGUUAGUACUUGGAUGGGAGAAGUACUCCUGAUGGUGAGACCCUCAGGCACCAGAGCA
ensembl:rRNA 5S_rRNA 5S ribosomal RNA